rnacentral:rRNA from 1 species
AGAGUUUGAUCCUGGCUCAGGAUGAACGCUGGCGGCGUGCCUAAUACAUGCAAGUCGAACGGGUGUAGCAAUACACUAGUGGCGAACGGGUGAGUAACACGUUGGUGACCUGCCCUAAAGAGGGGAAUACCACUUCGAAAGGAGUGACAAAACCGCAUAAGCUAGUGCUAGUUAGAGAGGCAUUAGUAAAAGAGCAAUCUACCUUAGGAGGGGCCUGCGGCCCAUCAGCUAGUUGGUGAGGUAAAAGCCCACCAAGGCGAAGACGGGUAGGGGACCUGAGAGGGUGAUCCCCCACAAUGGAACUGAAACACGGUCCAUACACCUGCGGGUGGCAGCAGUAGGGAAUAUUGCUUAAUGGGCGAAAGCCUGAAGCAGCAACGCCGCGUGAACGAAGAAGGCCUUCGGGUCGUAAAGUUCUUUUACGUGGGAUGAGGAAGGACAGUACCACGAGAAUAAGUCUCGGCUAACUACGUGCCAGCAGCCGCGGUAAAACGUAGGAGACGAGCGUUAUCCGGAUUUACUGGGCGUAAAGCGCGUGUAGGAGGCGCUACAAGUUGGAUGUGAAAGCUCCCGGCUUAACUGGGAGAGGUCGUUCAAGACUGUAGUGCUAGAGUGAGGCAGAGGUAGAUGGAACUCCGGGAGUAGUGGUGAAAUGCGUAGAUAUCCGGAAGAACACCAGAGGCGAAAGCGAUCUACUGGGCCUAAACUGACACUGAGACGCGAAAGCCAGGGUAGCAAACGGGAUUAGAGACCCCGGUAGUCCUGGCCGUAAACGAUGUAGACUGAGCGUUGGUUGGGUAAAACCAAUCAGUGCUGAAGCAAACGCGAUAAGUCUACCGCCUGGGGAGUACGGUCGCAAGAUUAAAACUCAAAGGAAUUGACGGGGGCCCGCACAAGCAGCGGAGCGUGUGGUUUAAUUCGAUACACGAAGAACCUUACCAGGGUUUGACAUACAAGUGGUAGUGAAGCGAAAGUAGAACGACCCUUCGGGGAGCUUGAACAGGUGCUGCAUGGCUGUCGUCAGCUCGUGUCGUGAGAUGUUCGGUUAAGUCCGCUAACGAGCGCAACCCUUGUUGUGUGUUACACGUAUCACGCAAGACCGCCGGUAGAAAGCCGGAGGAAGGUGGGGAUGACGUCAAGUCAGCAUGGCCUAUAUAUCCUGGGCUACACACACGCUACAAUGGUCGGUACAAUGGGUAGCUAAGCCGCGAGGCGGAGCCAAUCCUAAAAAGCCGGUCUCAGUUCAGAUUGCAGGCUGCAACUCGCCUGCAUGAAGAUGGAGUUGCUAGUAACCGCAGGUCAGCGAUACUGCGGUGAAUACGUUCCCGGGCCUUGUACACACCGCCCGUCACGUCAUGGGAGUUGGCAACACCUGAAGUCGGUAUCCUAACCGAAAGGGGGGAGCCGCCAAAGGUGGGGUCGAUAACUGGGACGAAGUCGAAACAAGGUAGGGCUACCGGGAGGUGGCCCUG